rnacentral:rRNA from 1 species
ACCCGCAAGGGAGGCAGCCGCCUAAAGUGUGAUCGGUAAUUGGGGUGAAGUCGUAACAAGGUAGCUGUAGGAGAACCUGCGGCUGGAUCACCUCCUUU